GAUGAACGCUGGCGGCGUGCCUAAUACAUGCAAGUCGAGCGAACGGACGAGAAGCUUGCUUCUCUGAUGUUAGCGGCGGACGGGUGAGUAACACGUGGAUAACCUACCUAUAAGACUGGGAUAACUUCGGGAAACCGGAGCUAAUACCGGAUAAUAUUUUGAACCGCAUGGUUCAAAAGUGAAAGACGGUCUUGCUGUCACUUAUAGAUGGAUCCGCGCUGCAUUAGCUAGUUGGUAAGGUAACGGCUUACCAAGGCAACGAUGCAUAGCCGACCUGAGAAGGUGAUCGGCCACACUGGAACUGAGACACGGUCCAGACUCCUACGGGAGGCAGCAGUAGGGAAUCUUCCGCAAUGGGCGAAAGCCUGACGGAGCAACGCCGCGUGAGUGAUGAGGGUCUUCGGAUCGUAAAACUCUGUUAUUAGGGAAGAACAUAUGUGUAAGUAACUGUGCACAUCUUGACGGUACCUAAUCAGAAAGCCACGGCUAACUACGUG
rnacentral:rRNA from 1 species